CAUCCUUCACAACCAGAUGCGUUUAGAGCAGAAGUCUUGCGAAUGCAACGCACUAAACCGGCAGCUAGAAGAGACACUAGAGGACACCAGAUGAAAGGUGUCCAAUACAAGGGAAUGAGCAGCAUCUAAAGAGCGAGCCUCUCAGUCCAAAAUGAUUGAGCUGGAGACCCAACUGUCCUGAGCCACUUCAGAGGUCAAUCAGCUGCGGAGAACCAAAGACGAGGCAAAGAGGAGGUACCAGAGCUGUCUGCGGGACGUGAAGUACCGCCUGGAACAGUCGGACAGCACCAACAGUCUGCAGAACUACGUGCAGUUCCUCAAAGCUUCCUAUGCUAGUGUGUUUGGGGGCUUGCCUUUCAGCCGCAGCUCACUCAGAGCUCACUCAGCCAUCUGAACCCCUGUACACUCGAAACUGAGGAGAUGCAGGACACACACAGACACCGGUGUGCAUUUUUUUACACAGUACAGUGUGAUGAGUUUACCUUCAUCAGUUUUAUUUGAAUGUGGGUAAGAACCAAAGUACCACUCUAAUCUUGCGUUAAUUAUAAUUAUGUUCCACAUUAAAUUUCAUAUAGAUCUCCAUAUUUAAGCCCUAGAUAAGUGACAGUGACUGAAGCGGUGCUUAAAUAGCAGAAGCAAAUGCUACUCAUAGACCUGAAUAACAUUUAAGUCACUAUCAAAACCCCAAAGUUGACCAGUCUAUAAUAUAAGAAGUUUCUUAUAAACUUCUGUAAAGUUGUAUUGGUGUUCAUCAGCCUUGCUAAAUUUCUUCAGAUAAAUAAAAUACUCAGCCUCUGCCAAGAUUACGAAGUCAUUCAGGGUAGAUUUUUCCAUCAUAUUUAUAACUAACCUGAACUGGUAGUGUAAUGAUGAAAUGGUAAUGUAGCUGGGGAUUAUUGUGUCCAGCCCACACAUUUCCUCAUCUGUGGACUCUGAGCUUCUUUCAGCAUUAUCACAUUUGUAAUCCCAUAGAUCACUGACUAGCCGAGCUGAGUCUUUGACCCAACCGUGUUGAAUAGCUGCACUGUGUUUGCUGUCUCCAUUAUACAAAUCCCAUUAUACACGGGAUUUCUCUCUAAUAGGACCUUGAGCAUCACUGGAAAAUGGUGAGGCAGGAAAGAAGAUAUUUUUUUGAGGAGCAAACACUGACCAUAUGUUAGAUAGAUCACAUUAAUCACCAUUAUAUCUCCUCCUAUUAAUCACCAUUAUCACUUAAUAAGUGGUGCAAGAGAAAAGUGCUUCACAUGUCAUUAAGAAAUUACAAAUUCAACACCAUAGUUAUGAGACAAGAGAGAAAAACUGGUUGUGCUGUCUCUGAGAGGGACAGGAUUUCUCUCUCCCCGGUCAGUCAGGGCAGCUCUAACCAAUCACUGGCAUGUGUGAAC